UGGGGAAUAUUGCACAAUAGGCGCAAGCCUGAUGCAGCCAUGCCGCGUGUAUGAAGAAGGCCUUCGGGUUGUAAAGUACUUUCAGUCGGGAGGAAGGUGUCAAGGUUAAUAACCUUGGCAAUUGACGUUACCGACAGAAGAAGCACCGGCUAACUCCGUGCCAGCAGCCGCGGUAAUACGGAGGGUGCAAGCGUUAAUCGGAAUUACUGGGCGUAAAGCGCACGCAGGCGGUUGAUUGAGUCAGAUGUGAAAUCCCCGGGCUUAACCCGGGAAUUGCAUCUGAUACUGGUCAGCUAGAGUCUUGUAGAGGGGGGUAGAAUUCCAUGUGUAGCGGUGAAAUGCGUAGAGAUGUGGAGGAAUACCGGUGGCGAAGGCGGCCCCCUGGACAAAGACUGACGCUCAGGUGCGAAAGCGUGGGGAGCAAACAGG
rnacentral:rRNA from 1 species